ensembl:lncRNA
CCUGCCCCUUCCCGCUCAAGGUGGGCGGGCGGGCUGUGUGGGCACGCGCAGUCGCCACGUCUCGCCCUCCGGGUCGGGUCCGGGUCAAGUCCCGGUCCGGUUCCGCUCCGGGUGCGGAGGGUGGCUCGGCCUUCCCUGAGGAAGCGGCUGACAGGCUUUCCGGAGCUAAUGAGAGACCUCUGACUAGGGCGAGUUUCGGCACGCACCACCUAGCAGCCGCCCCGCUGCCAUGCCUUCGUAACCUGGAAGCCGAAUUUCCGAAAUCGCCUUCACUCAGCAGUGAGUUAAUUUCUAGUAACCCCACCAAGAAAAGGAAGAAAUUAAAAAGUGCUACCUGUGAUUAUAAACAGAUGCAUGAUGAGUCAAGAAAGUCAAGGAAAAUCUACUGCCAUUUUACUUGAGCAAUAGUACACAUUCAUAAGGUUCUAUUAUCAGACGUCAUGGUAUAGAGUGCCUGCUGCUUGGAAGCCCUUGCUUUGGAAGAUGCAGCUGCUCUGUGCUUUCCUGGCUGUGCUCCCUCCAGGUGCCAGGGUCAGGGCUGACUGUCCUGGAAGAUGUAGCUGUGAGUCCCCACAGUCGGUGCAAUGCUACAGAGUCACCAAGGUGCCAUCGGGUAUCCCUGCCACCACCACGAGGCUCUACAUCAGCCUCAGCAAGAUCCAGCACCUCCAGCUAACUGGGCCCUUCUCUACUCUGGUCCUGUGGUUUGGUUUUGUGAGGGAGGGUGUGGGCAAGCGAUUUAAAUAAUCAUAACUCUCAAGAGCUGUUCGCAGAGGGCAGCCGUGCCACCUGCUUGCUGUGUGCUACUGAGAUGGUGUAUGCCCCUGAGUUUCUCUUUAGGGAAGCACCUCCAUGUCAGGGUCUACAGUUAAUGAUUUAAAAUCUCAACAGUUUUUAAAACUGUUGUUGCAAAGUAAAAGUAAGAAAGAUCUCUUCCUUAACAACAAAAACAAAAAAGCCCACAUGGCCAUUUUAUGUCCCCAGUAUUAAGUUCUUUCAAGGGAAAAAAGCUUUAUUUUAUGCCAUAAUGGCAGAUGAUAAAGCAUUGUAAGACCAUCAAGAUGAACCUACUGUUCUCACAGAAACGCACAGGCUAGCCAGGUACUGCUGUCUCUGUGGAAACCGACAGAGGAAAUGCGUGGGUUUUUUCUGUUGUGCCAGAUUACUGGCAGUUCUCACUUUGUGUGCUUUUAAUUCUGACUAUUUUUAUGCUCACCGAUCCUGAGGACUCUGGAAAGCGUUCGGUAGAUUUUUCUGAGUUUUACAGCAUCAAGAAACUUACACCUGAUCUUUGCUGUUUUGAAAGGUGUUUGGGACUAAGGUUCUCAGCCUGAUUCCUCACUAACUACAGAGAUGUGACCAUCUCAGACAAGCUGUUAAAAAACGUUUCUGGGCCGCAUUUACUCUGAUGUGAGAAGACUGCACUGGAUAAGGUGACUGCAGGGCUCUCCUCACAGAAGGUUCAGUGGCUCUCAUUUUGCCUUCCUGUUGCCUGUUUCUCCCUCACAGAUCCAGGUCCAACCUUUCCCCUUGUUUUAGAUUCGACCGACCGGCUCCCCACUAGCAUUCUUCACAUUGAUGUGUGAGAAGGAUCUCCAAACAACGGGUUCCAAACUGAAUUCAGUCUCCCCCCUCACUUGUGGUUUGGGGGCCUGGGUUCUUUCACUUAGCAUACUCAGUGUUUGGCCUGGUCAUACAGGGUCCAAACUUUCUUUUAAAGGCGGAAUGUCCUUAUCACUGUGUUUCCCUGAAGAUAAGGCCUAUCUAGAGAUCAAACAUGCCAGCCCCACUCCACCUGUCCUUGCCUUCCUUGCCAUGACAGAGGAGCCACAGAGCAAGAGAACACUGGCCGUCACCAUGGAACAACCAGCUGUUGAUUUCAGCGGGAGUUUAUUUUCUGAGUAGGUCUUAUUUUCAAGAAAACAUGCAUACCACAUGUGUGUUCAUGCAUCAGUUUAUGGACGUUUGGGUUGUUUCUUCUUUUUGGCUAUUAUGAAUGACAUGGUUAUGGAUAUUCAUGUUUCAAAUACAACGUUUUUGUUGUUGUUGUUUUUGGUGUUUUGAGACAGUCUCAUUUUGUUGUGCAGGCUGGCCUUGAACUUGCAGC